CCUUCUCGGGCCAACCCCAAGCGCCGCUGACCCCGAACGUCGCUGCGGGUUUUGCCUUUUCCGGAAUGCCAUAUAUAAGGAAUCAUACAGUAUGCAGUCUUUCUUUCAAUUUUGCUGUGAAACUAAAACUGCUAAGAAAAUAAAGUCUUAAAAAGAAAAAUCAAUGGAGAAGGGAAAGCCUAUGAUAAGAGGAGAUGAAUGCCUGCUAAAGCGACCAGAAGGCUCUCAGUAAAAAGUAUUCACUAGGUAUCAAUAGAAUCUGCAAAACGAAGAGGUGCUUGAAAGAUGUGAAAGAGGAAACUUAAAGAGAAACCCAGAUGGUACAUCUCUCUUCCUGGCUAGAUAGAUGGAAUGUACAGCCAGAGGAUUGGAUGAGGUCAUCGACGGAGAGAAUGCAGAGAGAAUCCUGGGGCUCACCAACAUGAAGAAUUUGGGACAAGAAAGAAGAUCCAGCAGAGAAGACUGAAAGAAGGCAACUAAUGAAAUAGGAGAGAACCUGGAGAGCACAGAGUCUUAGAGGCCAAGAAAGUGGUUUAAUAUAAUCCGUAUCAAAGCAUUUGUGGUUUAUUUUUGUUAACUGACAAAAGGAUUCUAAAACAUACCUGAAAAGUAUAAUUCACACCUAGGAUAAUGGAUCAUUCUGUCACAUUGUUCCUUUUUCACAGCUGAUAUGAACAUGAUAUUUUCAUGACUUUGUAAAAUAAAAAUGGAAUCUUUCUAAUUUUUUUAAAAAAACUGCUUACUUAUGCAAGCCUUCUGUCUCUCACUGUAUAACCCCUCCACUUUUAUACGGGUCACACAUGUUUCUGUCACUUUCCUGGAGCCCUUGUAG
rnacentral:lncRNA from 1 species